UCAGCAGGGAUAGAGUGAACCACAGCAAGGUUUAAAUGUGGAGGCAGCAAGUAGGAAACAACAGGAGGAGGAAUGUAGGUGAGAUUUAGGUCUCAUAUGUUUGCACUUCUAAUUGAGAGGCUGAAUUGGAUGGAGCAGUCUCCUCAAAGCAGUGGGCAGGCAUCAACUCUGGCCUGUGCAGAUCUAGGCUUUGCUCUUCUUUGGGUUGUAUGUACCAGCCUCUUGUAUGGUGAGCAUCUGUGCAAGUGUGGAAGUUUAUCUAGAGAAGUCUAUCUGCUCAGAUUCACAUAGAUGAAGGAGGCAGAUGAUGUUGUACUGAUGCCUUAAGGAGAUUAAAGUCAUAGGUUUGAGGGUUGCUGGAACGUGUGGAAUAAACAGUCUGAGUCUUCUUUCUUCCAU
rnacentral:lncRNA from 1 species